rnacentral:rRNA from 1 species
GAUGAACGCUGGCGGCGUGCUUAACACAUGCAAGUCGAACGGUGAAGGCGGAGCUUGCUCUGCUGGAUCAGUGGCGAACGGGUGAGUAACACGUGAGCAAUCUGCCCCUGACUCUGGGAUAAGCGCUGGAAACGGCGUCUAAUACUGGAUACGAGCUGCGAAGGCAUCUUCAGCAGCUGGAAAGAACUUCGGUCAGGGAUGAGCUCGCGGCCUAUCAGCUUGUUGGUGAGGUAACGGCUCACCAAGGCGUCGACGGGUAGCCGGCCUGAGAGGGUGACCGGCCACACUGGGACUGAGACACGGCCCAGACUCCUACGGGAGGCAGCAGUGGGGAAUAUUGCAACAUGGGCGAAAGCCUGAUGCAGCAACGCCGCGUGAGGGACGACGGCCUUCGGGUUGUAAACCUCUUUUAGCAGGGAAGAAGCGAAAGUGACGGUACCUGCAGAAAAAGCGCCGGCUAACUACGUG